CAAAGUGAAAGUAUGUUCCAGACAGUGAAAUGAGUCAGUCUCCACGAGUGGAGAAAGACACCAAAGUCUAUGCACAUAUCGCCUUUUGUAAGCUCACUGGUCUGUCCUGCCUUUCUCCUGGCAGGAUUGGUUGUAGGUUCCCACCUUUGGGAGUGAUUGACAGGUUGGCGUUAUAUGACAGGUGACAUAACAGGUUAUAUAACAGGGAUUGGUUAUGUAAUGGUUUCCUCACUGGGCAUGCAUUUCCCCAGAAUUCUUCAUGAAGCCCCACCCAUUUAUGCUAAUUAGAUGGUAAUGAGCUCUAGGUCAGUUAAAAGUUACUAGGAACUUUUUACCUUGUAUGUUCCCACCAGAGAACAGUUCCUAGCCACAGUUUGGUUCCUAGGUCAAUUCAGUUCCCACACUAUGCCCUUAGCUACUUCCCUACCACCUGUUUACCCUCCACCAGACCUAACAGAGCCCCUGCCUGCUUGGGAUCUUCCCACCACAGUCCCCUGGGCACUAGGUCUUGCACUUUCCCUCCAACUGCCACCUGUGUGAGAGCUUCCAUUGGGUCUGACAGAAGGAGUGACACACCCUUGGGGGUCCAGUGGGGAUUUCAGGACCUGCCACCAUCACUUAGAAGGCCAGUGCUGGAACUGCUGAACUCAGCCCGGGCACCGGCAGCCACACUUCGCUCCAGAAAAGCUCUCCUGCCAUGUGGGGACCCAGCAAGAAGGCCCUCACUAGAUACCCAGUGCCAGAGCCUCGAUUGUGAACUUCUCAGCCUUCAGAGUUGUAAGAAAUAAAUUUCUGUUGUUUUGUAAAUUACGUAGUCUCAGGUAUUUUGUUAUUGCUGCAGAAAUGGAUGAGACGACUCCUUAACCACCAGAUAAGACAGGUACUGUUAAAAUUAGCCAGAAGUACAGAGAUGUUAAGUGACAACAAACCCAAGAUCAUGGAGCUAGUAAGAGUAGAGCUGAGAUGUAAGUGUACAUACGCAGUUUGAGCCUAAUCUGGACUAUAAGCACCACUCUAAUUGCUUCCAGUAUUC